rnacentral:misc_RNA from 1 species
UUGUUAACGGUAUUGUAACAAAUAACAAGCAGAGGACGAACUAUCCGUGAACUGUUUUGCCAACGAGUACGCUUCCAAUAUUUUCUGUUUGAGAAAACACGAUCUAAGGGGGGGGGGGGGGGGCAAAGCUUGUUAAUCUGGAAAGAAUACAAGCAUCAAUUUAAAGCGCUUAUAGGGAAUCAAGCGGGCUUGUUAAGGUCAUAUUUCUGGUCUACGCACUCCAGUGCCCGCACAACUGAUAUUGAAACACCUGAUUUUCCCAUAUUCUACAGCGACAAAUUUCCUGAUAUUUUACAACCAUGAAGAACUCGUACUCGAAAAUACUUGCAAUGCUCAUCUGCUUGCAGAUUAUCUUUAUCACUUUCUUCCCGUUAGGGGCUGUGGCUUUAGGAGAAAACUGUACUGAUCUCGAAGGAAAAGUUGUCUCGCAUGGAAUGAUGUAUGUGCCGGGACCUUCGAUUUGCAGUCAAUGCUUCUG